CAUCACUUUUCAGGAGGCCUGACCCUCCGAGGGGAACUCGUGUGCUGCCCGCCUGCUUCCUGCCGGGGACCGUCGGCCACUGAGCCUUCCAGGACCGGAGCUGCAGAGGCGACGCAGCCAGCUGAGAAGCAGAUUCUCCCUUCUGAGGGUUGGUUAAAGCUCAAAACCAGAGGCCUCCGUGGACCCCCACCUGUUUUUCCAAGCCCACCGUCCCUCCACCUCAUCUUCCGCCGUCCCAUCGUCCGCCAGCUCGUCAUUCAGCGUGGAUUUCCUGAGCCACCCCCAGGCACCAGCACCGUGGCUCAGGCGACGUGCAGACAACAAAGAAAGAACCACCCCAUCCGUCCACCCACCCAUUGUGCGUCCGCCUGCCCACCCACCCCUGCCCGCCCGUCCGUCUGUCCCUCCGUCCGUGCUUCCACGCCUCUCUGCAGUCACACACUCACUCCCUGUCAAGUCCUCCCGGGCGCCUGGACUCAGCCGUGGGCCCCAGCCCUCACUCCCCAGGCCAGCUGGGGGCAGACCCAGGUCCUGGGGAUCCCAUGAAGCUCAGAGGUCCCCGACUUCACACCAGCAGGUCACCCAGGAAACCAAAGGAUCAGGGUGAGUGUCUGAGGGAACACCUUUUAGGAGUGAUUUUAUCAAAGAGGGCCCCAGGCUGUGACCCCGCAUCCUUGCAACAGAUGCGCUGGCAGUCUGGAACAGAUUCAGGUCAGUUUCGUAAGCCACUGGGGCAAAUUCCCAGCAAAGAUAAAGCAAGGUGGCCCUGCCAGCUGGAAGCUGACCCCGAACCCCAAGCCUGACUUUUCUGCCCAGUGCGAUCCCAGCUGCCUGGGGCCCUCGUCACUGGGCUUUGGGUUCUGGAGCUGGUCCCUGAGGCAUCCUCUUGGAAGUGGGGGAGGCCCAGCAGCCAGUGGGAGGGUGGCCAGAAGGGACCUUGGGGUGCUUGCAACUCUGACCACAGUGCCCCGCGCUGAAGCCGACCCCUGCCCCACUGCCCGGAACAAAGUGAGUGCUCAGACUUGCAUGGGAUUUGGAGGACACGUCUUAGCCCCAGAGCAUGUCCAGCAGGGCUCUGUAUCAGCAGGGCCGGCCCUGAUGGCUAUCUGGAGACUUGUGACACAAGGGAGCAUGAGCCCAGCUCAGCAAUAUCAGCUGACUUAACCUCAGAUGAAAGGAAACACGCGGGCAGCCGGAUCUAGGUCCGGGGUGGGGCGGGGUGAGUGUGGGGUGAGGCUCCGCGGGCCCAGCCCCGGAUGACCGGGCCCUGACCCAGGGCCCCAGCUGGUCUGCUUUCCGGGAGCCCUGCUGCCAGCCCCCAGGUCCCACUGCUCUGGGCAGCCUUCGGGAGUGGGGUGGGGUGUCCCCUUUGCCCACGUGGUCCCUAAAGGGCUUGUGUGCCCCACCUGUGGACACACGGCCAGACACGCGUGUGCGAUACACGUGUGUGCCGUACCCCCCAAGGGUGCCCACACAACGCACACCACUCCCAGCGCGUACCUGGGACAGGAGGGCGGCGGCUGCCUGGACCUCGGGCUGCAUGGGA
rnacentral:lncRNA from 1 species